UGGUUUUAGAGUUGGGGCUCUGGAACAGCAUGCAGAUCCUUCUCAGUCCAUGCUUUCUCAUCUGAUGGGAUCACCACUCCUGUCUGUAUUAGUCAGAGCUCUUAAGAGAAAUAUAACCAAUAAGGAAGAUACUGUGAGAACAAAUUAUUUUCAUGAAAUGGCUUGUGGGAUUGUGGAGUGUUCUGGAACCUUGAGCAUGAAUAGUUUCUCCAUUGCAGCCUUGGGAAGAGUCCUUCUAAAGGGAACUUUAGUCUUUGUUCACAGGGCCUUUGGGCCUUCUACUGAUUGUAUGAGGCCCGCAUCUGAUGGGUAAUGUGCUUUAUUGAAAGUCAAUUGAUUGUAAACAUUAACCACAAAUUAAAAAUGCCUUUCCAACAACAACUAGAUAACU